rnacentral:hammerhead_ribozyme from 1 species
GCACUGCUGAUGAGUCCCGUAAUAGAACGAAAUGGCCGUCCAGUGC